GACGAACGCUGGCGGCGUGCUUAACACAUGCAAGUCGAACGGAAAGGCCCUGCUUUUGUGGGGUGCUCGAGUGGAGAACGGGUAAGUAACACGUGAGUACCCUGUCCCUGCCUUUGGGAUAACUUAAGGCAACUGGGGCUAAUACCGGAUAGGAGCUCUUGCUGCAUGGUGGGGGUUGGAAAGUUUCGGCGGUUGGGGAUGGACUCGCGGCUUAUCAGCUUGUUGGUGGGGUAGUGGCUUACCAAGGCUUGGACGGGUAGCCUGUCUGAGAGGGUGACCUGCCACAUUGGGACUGGAAUACGGCCCAGACUCCUACGGGAGGGAGCAGUGGGGUAGAUUGCACAAUGGGCUGAAGCCUGAUGCAACAACGCCGCGUGCGGUGUGUCGUGAUUCGGGUAGGAUACCACUUUCGCCUGUCACGAAGCGUGAGUGACGGUAAUGGGUGAAGAAGCACCGGCUAACUCCGUG
rnacentral:rRNA from 1 species